rnacentral:lncRNA from 1 species
CCCAGAGACUUGAGCGCAGCAGCAGGAGGGCCUGGCAGGAGAGGGCAGGGCUGGGCAGCCCGAGGACUCCAGCGGGGUGGCCCAAAGAGAGGAGGCUUUCCGGCAUCCCCGGCAUGGCCUAUCCCCUUUGUCCUGCCUGCCCUCUGGACAGAGAGAGACUCAUUAUCCAGUUAGAUGCUAGGCGGUAAGAGGAGGAAGCUAAUUGUGCUAGCGCUAGCUAAUUAAUGCUGCCUUUCCUAUUAACAUUCUUUGGAGUGCUCCAUUUCAAUUAGAUGAUCUGUCCAGGAAGAGAGGCUGUCGUCAGUCCAGAGAAAGUAAGCAAGAGGAGGUGACGGAAGGAGGGAAACAGAGACAGAGACAGAGGAAAAGAGGAGAGAGACCGAAGGGAGAGUGGAAUGGUGGGGGAUGAGGGAGAGACUGAGAUGCAAAUAGGGAAACAAAAGAAGAAACAGAAAGGAAGAAUGACUGAGGAUGAGGGGGAGAGGAGGGGUGCGCAGCAGAAGACUUGCAAGAGAGAGGCCUGGAAGGGGUGGGAAUUGCUCCUGUAAUAUGCAAGAUUCGUAUUAAUGAAAUAAUUAAACUUCCCAUUUGCAACGCCCUAACACGAGCCUGCCAGCUUGCCGAGGGGAUGGUAACUGCUCUGAGUCCCGAUUUGUAUUCGCACUGGAGGCAGCUCAGACUCACCCAAUCUCCAAAGGGAAAAACCAAGUCUGCAUGUGGAGGCUGGAACCCCUAACAGAUACAUGUAGCUGGCUGUGUUUUCCAAAGAUGGCUGCAACAAUAUCUGCCAUCUCACAUGCUUAUCUCAUGAUGUGACUUUGACACUCCUCCCAUCAAGCAGGCAAGGCUGCCAAAAUCACCAGCCCACCCAGAUUCAAGGGGAAGGAAUGCAGGCAUUAGGAAAUAAAGGAAGAUGCAGCUUCCUUCUGGCUCUCUUCGGACGCUCAUCCUUGGGAUCAGCCACUGUGUUACGAGAAUGUCCAAACUAGCCCAUGCGGAGAGAUCACUCGUAGGACUUCCUGCUGACAACCAACCUGACAGCCAGCAUCAACCACCAUGUGAUGUGAGCAUGUGAGCGACGCUGCUGCAGACAAUUCCAGCCCCCGGUCAUUGAGUAACCACUAGCCUUGAAGUCUUUCCAGCCGAGGCCCAGAUACCACAGAGUAGAGCUCAGCCAUCCUCUCCUGUGCCCUGUCCUGACCCGCGGAAUGCACGAUAGUUAUUAUACAUCUCUACACUCCGGGAUGUUUUGUUACAUAGCAAUAGCAACUGCAACAAUUGCAGUGAAGCCUUGUUCUGUAUGUGUGGCUCCAUGCCCUGCAGACAGCAUUUGCUGGAUUUAAG